UUAACUUUGGCAAAGGGAUUGCGUUAGACCAACUUUUAAGAUAGGCGUACACCUCAAAAUAAAUAUGAAGCAUGAUAAACUGCAAGACAGUCACCUGUUCUCAACAUUUAGUACGUCAGCAAAAACAAAAAUGAGAAUUUUUAAAAUGGAGUAAGAGGAAGUAUCAAUAGCUGGGAGAGGAGCAUUUAAAACGGGAGCUUCCAAUUUUGUAUGAAGAAAAUAAAAUUGAAGCAUGCUUAGCGGAGCGACCAUCAUCUGUUAGCAAGUUUUAGUAAUCAACAGCAGUAAAAUAUAAAGGAAAUUUAAGUUCUAAAAGAAUUGGCGUAAAUUAGUUUCCAACAGUGGUUGCCAUCCAUAUUUGGUGAAAUUUGAAUUGACGUAUGCUGUUUCAUUACGUCAGGAUUUCCAACCAAUUAGAGCAAGGGAUUUAUCGGUCUUCCCACAAGCACUUUGUCUUUGAGACUUUUGAUCAGGGAAAAAACGGUCUUUUGAAAAAAUAUCGAAGAAAAAAAUCUUUAAAACGAAUUCCUGUAAAAGAACGUCUAGUAUAGUUGCAGUGCUGUGAAGUGUUCAUCAUGUAUCCAAGAUUUGGCCCGCUUCGUAUGACUCGUUUUUUUGCUCUGUGCAUUUGUUUGGUCAAUCACAAUUCUCUUAUUAUGGCACAAACUACUUCGUCGACAAGUAUGGCACAAGCAUCAAUGAUGGCAAAUUCAUCAAUGAUGGCUCAAUCAUCAAUGAUGCCACAAUCAUCAAUGAUGGCUUCGACAGCAAACAUGAUGCCUGCUCAGACAGCAAUGUCGAUUGUUCCUAGUUCUGCAGUGCCGCAAAACCCGGCAUCCUCAUCAAUGGGGAACGCAACAGCUGGCAAUCGUGACUCAUCAUCUGAAAAACUCGUGCCUGCUUUUACUCAACUCUUUCUUCUCACUGUACCUUCAGUUCUUUACAUCCUACACUGAAAAAAAACAAGGCAGAUAAAGCGACCUUAAUUCGAUCAUUUUGAAAGGAUAUUUUUGGUAAAAAACAAGCUUUCUAAAAUUUUUUAUAUACUAUCAGUUGAAGUUGUACACAAUUGUUAAAAACAUGUCUGUAAAAUUAUAUCAUGACUUACAUUUUCA